AUCGCUUCUCGGCCUUUUGGCUAAGAUCAAGUGUAAAUCCAGCAAAGAAAUAUUUUUCCAAAUCAAAUUGAUAGACUUGUAUUUAAGUUGGGAAAUAUGAGUCUUUUUAUAUCGUUAGAUUGACUUCAAUUGAGAGACUCUCAUA
rnacentral:snRNA from 1 species